rnacentral:rRNA from 1 species
GACGAACGCUGGCGGCGUGCUUAACACAUGCAAGUCGAACGGUGAAGCUCCAGCUUGCUGGAGUGGAUCAGUGGCGAACGGGUGAGUAACACGUGAGCAACCUGCCCCUGACUCUGGAAUAAGCGCUGGAAACGGCGUCUAAUACUGGAUACGAGAAGGGUCCGCAUGGGCACUUUCUGGAAAGUUUUUCGGUUGGGGAUGGGCUCGCGGCCUAUCAGCUUGUUGGUGAGGUAAUGGCUCACCAAGGCGACGACGGGUAGCCGGCCUGAGAGGGCGACCGGCCACACUGGGACUGAGACACGGCCAGACUCCUACGGGAGGCAGCAGUGGGGAAUAUUGCACAAUGGGCGAAAGCCUGAUGCAGCGACGCCGCGUGAGGGAUGACGGCCUUCGGGUUGUAAACCUCUUUCAGCAGGGAAGAAGCGAAAGUGACGGUACCUGCAGAAGAAGCACCGGCUAACUACGUG